CACUUGGGUUGCUUCCACCUUUUGGCUACUGUGAACAGUGCUGCUGUGAACAGAGGUGCAAAUACCUGCUCAAGUCCCUGCUUUAGGUCUUCUGUGAAUGUCCUCUCAUCAUGCCCUUUUUCUGAGUAUUUAGGUUGUGUCCAAUCUCUCCGUUCUGUAAAUAAUCACGUCCUGAACAUCUCUGUGUCAGAGCUUCUUGCUAAAGGUAUUUGGAAGAUUACUCAGCAUUCAAGUCUCGGAACUGGGAUCGUGAUCUCAGAGCUCAUUUCAAACGCAUGGUCCCAGGCGUUAUCCCACCACUCCCUCCCUGCUCCAGAAGCUUUGGCAUCUUGUGUGUUCAACAACUUUUCCUUUUUUCUCUUUGGUUCCUAGAAAGGACAAACUUAACCUUGAGGUUUGCAGUGUUCCUUUGCCAUUUUAUCUGUCAGGGAACCAACCUGGGUGAUCCAGCUGUUUUUCCAGAUAAAGUUUGGAAUCAUUUCGUCAUUUUGCCUAAAAGCAAAACAAACCCAGUGGCCUUCUGAUGUACCGGCCGUGCUGUCAGCACAGGACAGUCCUGUGGUUCGUCGUCUUCCCUUCAUCCCAGGUGUUUGGGAAGCACCUACCGCCAACCCAUGAAUGACUGUGGAGACGCGAGAGGGACGAGACGAUCGCUGCCCUGCUCUUCUGGACCUGAGCACCCUCCGCGAUGCCUGGCCUGGGCUCCUGCAAUAACACUGGUCCGCAGAAGGAAAGAACCCCGGCCUGGGAAUCUGCGCGGGACCGCCCGUGAUUGUCUCUGCCCUCGGCGCCCGGCCGCGGCCCCUCUGGAUUGGC